GUAGGGAAUAUUGCGCAAUGGGCGAAAGCCUGACGCAGCGACACCGUGUGUAGGAUGAAGGUCUUCGGAUUGUAAACUACUGUCAGUUGAAGACGAAGGCAGUAGAGUUAAGAGCUCGAAUGCUGACGGUAUUCAAUUAGGAAGUCUCGGCUAACUCCGUGCCAGCAGCCGCGGUAAGACGGAGGAGGCAAGCAUUGUCCGGAAUUAUUGGGCGUAAAGAACACGUAGGCGGUUUGUCAAGUCAUAUGUGAAAACCUUGGGCUUAACUUAAGGAUUGCAUAUGAUACUGGCAAACUAGAGUAUAGUAGAGGAAAGCGGAAUUCCUGGUGUAGCGGUGAAAUGCGCAGAUAUCAGGAAGAACACCAGUGGCGAAAGCGGCUUUCUGGACUGUUACUGACGCUGAGGUGUGAAAGCUAGGGGAGCGAACAGGAUUAGAAACCCCUGUAGUCC
rnacentral:rRNA from 1 species